UUGUUUGUUUGUUUGUCAUGUAAUUGUGCAUAUAUGUUUAAGAAGUAUGUAUCCCCACAUCAGUGAUCAUGAUGAGCUGGGAGAAGAAACACGUGAGGCAAAAGAGGAGAAGGAAACGUUCCCGUCUGCCCGCCUGGCGCAUCACUGCGGGAAACAUGUCCACCACGGACGUGAUCACUACCUCCAUGGCAACAAACUUUAUACAGAAAAAGAAAAGAUCAAGCCAUGAGGGACGUUGCACAGGUCAGUAGUUUCAGAAUGACAAUAAGUCUAUACUUGCGUGUCCAAGCCCAGGAGAAUGAUCAUGAAGAAGAAGCAGAUGGACCACAGUUGAGGUAACGGCAUCAUGGCCACCGCCUGAGGAUAAGCGAUGAAUGCCAAGCCUGGACCUGGAAAAAACACGCCCAUGCACUGUCACCAUCAAUAUAGGACAUUUCAACCAUUUCCUAUCAUGUUUGAAUUGUAUUCAAUGGAAGAUUUAAAGUGGAACAAUGGCACUAACAUUAUGUUUUUAUCAUUUUCAGGAUUGACGCUGUACUGGCUGCUAUUUUGUCUUGUCACACAUUGAAGGCAACACAUUGUUUGCGUUCUUCAUCAGUGUAGUUAGCUUUUUUAUUAAUUAAAUGGAACAAGAAACAAGCUUACAAAUGGUCAAUUAGAGAGCUUCUUCAAAUGUAUUACAAUGUAAUUUUAUUAUGUGAAACAGCACCGCCAUCAAUGUGUGAAUGUGGAAAUAGUGUCAAAACGCUUUGAGUUUGUUAAAAAAAAAAAGGUAGAAAAGCGCUAUACAAGUACAACCUAUUUACCAUUUACUUCUGGCCUGAGUCAAAUGAGACAAGAUGGCAACCCCAAUGUUAGCAUACGCUUGCAACCAGCUGAGCUCAUAUAUUGUUACAUAUUAUUGAGCCUAUUUCAAUUGUAACUAUUUAUUCAUACUGGCAUGCCAACAUUGCUAAUGCCACAGUUGCUAAACUGUGAUUGGCUAAUUGUAUACUUGUUAUAUAUUAGCAUAAUAAGCUUACAGUUGCUCAAAUGUUGGCGUCCAUUGAUUGUGUUCAUAGUAUUUUUCUUUUUAUUUGAUAUUAACUGGUUAAGAAAACGUUCAUAUAAUUUAUUACAUAAACACAACUAACUGUGGAAGAUAUGUAAUUGUGCAGUUAUCUUUAGUAAGAACACUAACUAUAGAAAAACUGUUUCUUGAUACCUGUGCAUGUGAUGUGAGUGGGUGUCCUCAAGAUGGCAGCAGACAUUUUUACAAAUCUUUCAUAUUUUUUGCAAACUCUGUUACUGUGUUUGAAACCCUUAUGUUAUCUCUGAGCUUAAUUUUGCUCUAUUUUUUUUCAAUAGCAGGUGCCAUUUUAAUAGGGUUUAAAGCUUACCAGACUCAGCUACUUCUGCAAUGGGAACUCCCUGCUCAUGGGCCAUGAACCCCAGCACAGAGAAGACUGCAAAACCAGCCACCACACUGGUACCACUGUUUAGUAAACACAGCCACAAACAGUCUCUGCAACACACAAAUUGACUUUUUUUUAAAUAUUUUGGUACAACUUGGUCCAUCACACUCUUUAGACUUUGUACUUCUGGUGCGCAGUUAAAAUAAGGGCGUGAAUGAUGUUAAAACUAAUCCUGACAAAUUGGGAAUAAAUCAGUCCAUUUCUAACUGACAUACGCAGCACAUUUAAGUCCAAUUUUUAUUUGUACUUAUAUACCGUGCAAUACUUUUAUUUGUCUAAAUGUCGAAAUACGUACAAAAAUAUAAAUAUGUACAUGAACUAUACUGAAAAAAUACAGUUGCACUCACUGUCGAUUUACUUGCAAAGAUUAUACAAUUACAAAAGUUUAUACAAUUAAAAUACAGUAGCUUAACUCAUCUUUCAAAAAGUUACUCCAAAAAAUAUUGAAGGCUUUUAUGUAUUAAAUAAAGGGGGCUGUAUAUCAUUUCAAGUGCAACUGUAUUUAAUAAACAUUUUACUUUAUUGGAUGUGUUCAUCAUUAAAAAAAAAAAAGCCCACAGAGGUUCUAAUGAAAUUGAAUGAAGAUUUUCUGCACUCACUCUGUUGUGACAAGUCCCUUUCGCAUACAAUUACUAAACAAUACAUGUUUAUUGUAGUUUGCAGUGGUGUUGAACUACAUGGCUUCAUACUUCUUUUCUAUUAAGUGUUUCUAAUAUUUCACAAAUAAUAGAACCAAAAUUUUACAUAUUUGUAACCCAGUUAGUUCGGGCCCAUGCCUUUAUCCCAUUCCGCACAAACAAAUAAACACCAGCAAAAGUUGUGAAAACAACCAGAAGCAUGAUGAGAAAAAGUAAAAAAUGUCAACAUCAGCCAAUAACGACACAAAGCUUUUUCCUUAAAAAACAAAAACACAUACGAAGUAAUGAUAUACACAUUUGCUUCCUGUUGACACUUACUUAUAGCAGUUGUUGCUGUAAGGGUUAUAGCUGCCCAGUACAGUGAGCGUGCCCACACCAAUGCUGUAUGAGAAGAAGAUCUGGGCGCCAGCUUCCAUCCACACCUGUCAACACCACCCACUGACAAAUGAGUGUGUUUUGCUCUUUGCAUUGUGUUCCCACCACGUAACAGCGCCUAUACCUGAGGGUCUGUGAGUCGUGACAGUUCUGGAAGAAGAUAGAACACCACUCCUUGUCUGGCCCCGGGAAGAGUGAGUCCACGGAUCAACAGGAUAAGCAGCAUAAUGUAAGGGAAGGUGGCGGUGAAAUACACCACCUGGAAAGGAUAGGAGUUUCUUGCUUUUAAAUGAGGUAUCACACACUUGCUGCCAUUUUUCAAGACUUUACCUUUCCGGUAGAUUUAACCCCUUUCCAGAUGCAGAAGUAACAUAUGAUCCACAUGGCGAUGAGGCACAGCAGCACCUCCCACCUAAUGCUGCCGAUUUCCUCAAUGCCCCCUGAGAUGUUCAACACCCUAUGUCUAUAAAUAAAUAAAUAAUUCUGUUGCUGCUGAAGUUCCUUUGGUGUGGUUGCUGCCCUCCAGUGUGUGAUUUCUUGUUGUGAAGUCUACACAAUCCACUUAUGGUAGUUGUCACAUGUGCUCCAGGGCAGUUGGGACUUAAAGGAAAACAGCAGGUAGAAGAGAGCCCAGGACAGAAUAAUGAUAGUGUUACACACCUUCAGCCAGUGGACACAGCUUCCUCCAACAUGUGAUCCCACCCUCUUGGGUGUACUGGCCAACGGCAGUUUCCAAAAGGAAGAGCGCUGUGGCUUGCAGGUGCCACUGACCCGGCUGGAUAGGAGGACGCAGACGAACGCGGUACAGACCACUGAAGGGCUGGAAGUCAGCCAGAGAGCCUUCCUCGCUCAGCAGAGACUGGCUGUGGCCUAAAAAAGAGCUGUCAACUCUGAAGGAGUGUGAAGACCUCUGGUCCUGGUCCGUCUUGAGAUAGAGAAGAGUCACCUGAACCCUCGCCCCAGACUGGUCUGCAAAGGAUGCAAGCGGACAUGUAGAUUUCCAAACGUGUUCAUGAGUCUCCAAGGUGACAUUGAGGAUAGCCUGCUCAGUGAUGUACUGGUGUGUGUGCGAAUCCCAGGACAGCGUCAACACCCGAGACCAAAAGUUGGGGAGAAAGCAUGUGCACGGUGCCGCCAGGAAAAGG